AGUUGUUCAAUUUUCCGUUUCAGAAGGCGAAUCUUACAUUGAACUAUAGUCACUAUUCGUUCUUUCUGGAGAUUUAUAUUCGCUGAAAACGAACGUUCACGUUUAUUAAUUGCAGAUGCGUACUCGAGAUGCAAACGAAACUAUUGUGAUUGGCCAAACCUGAGCUGCGCUGAGAAAAGUAACAGGCAACACAUGACCUCGCCAUCGCCACAACAUAACACGUCAUUUACAGCUAGCAAAAACUUGUUUUUGAGGGGGAAACGCAAAGACAUGACCUCAUAUGUAUAGCUGAUGAAGACAGUUACAUGGACUCGUCUCCUGUGAUGGACAUGGACUCGCUGCUGAAUGAGGAGCAGCGAUGGCUGGAUGCGCUAGAGAAAGGACAGCUGGACGAUAAUAGAGAGCUGAAGGAAGAGAUGGAUGAGUCUCUGCUCACAGCAAGACAGCUACCAUAUUUAUUUAUCAAAUAAAUUGGAGCUGCCCAUGGUAUACAAGGAGAAGGAUCUGACGGCCGAAAGCAAGAAGCGUGCCCGCAAGAGACGCCUACAGGCCGCCAAGAAACCCGAGAGACUGACCAAGAGCAGCAAGGCCAAGAUCAAGAGCAUGCAGUCUGGAGUACUACAGGAAGAACCUGAGGCUGGUGCAGGAAGUCUGUCAAUGGUGUGUGUUUAGUUGGUCAUUGCAAUUGUGUUGAACAGCAGACACAAAAUUCUUUGAUUAAUCAGCGUAAAAUCAUGCUGAACUUUAUUUUGUGCAAUUCAUGAAACACAAGCUAUAACAUUUUAUGGUACGCCUCAAUUUGGUAAUAUUAGGUUUCCUGAACUAACAACGAACAAUUAUUUAACUUAUACAUGUAAAUGUAUAAAUAUUAUAUACACACACACACACACACCCAUAUAUCUAUAUGAAUUAAUAAAUGCUUUAUAGUAUUUUCAUUGUGAGUUUGAUAUCUAAUGUUAACAAAUCCAACUUAUUGUAAAGUGAUGCCCAAAUUAAAUGUGACAGUUAAUUACAAAUUGUCAUCAUGAAGAAUCAUGACAAUACAUUUUUGUGCAAAUAACUUUGAACUGAGAGUAACAGCAUAAUGGCAAAUAUAUGUAUUAAUCAUUCUGUAAAGAACUCAAGUUGUUGCAUUGAAUUUGUGUGUACUAAUGUUUUAUAACACAUUCAUUCUGCUUGUGUUUGAUGAAUGAAGCUCACUAUCAUUAAAACUUAUAAGCACAGUUUUAUUAGUGUAAAUCUGGCUUAAUUUAUGCAUUUGAAGCCACAAAGCAUCAUUCUAAACCAAAACUAAACCGAAUUUAUGAAAGUACAGUUUAAUUUAUUAUCAUUAGUUUGAUAAUAAACUUACCAUAAAGUGUUUACAAAAUUAUUAUUUUUUAAAUUCAGUUCAUUGCGACAAUUAAGAAUCGCAAAUUAUUUACAAAGAAAUUCAGGAAUCAUGAUAAUGAAUGUGUACAUAGUUAAUAAAACCACUUUGAAUUGAUAUAUUUCUCUGUAAAGGAUUCUGUAAAAACAUUAUUG